rnacentral:lncRNA from 1 species
GACCUAUGAAGGCUCAGUUGCCAGGCUGUGACAUGAGGCGAAGCCCAUACUCCUGCCACAUUGGUUGUAAGGAUUAAAUGAGACAGUGCAGGUGAAAGGGCUGGCUCCUUUCUAAGUGCAUGUAUCCCCAGUGCAGAGCAGGAGGGGACCCCCAGAAUAACAAGACCCCAGUGAUCCAGGCCUUCUCCCCUCCCUGGGCCUCAGCUACCCCAGCUCCAACAGCCUCCUCAGGCCCCACCACAUCUUCCAGAUAGGAGCUGUGUGGCAUUGCCACAGGGUCAGCUGUCACCGCGUGACUUCUGGUGACAGGAUCCUGGAAUGGAGGACUGAGAAGGACAGGCUGAAUAUCAGCUUGUGGAGGCAUUGGCCCCAGUCAGCCAAUCAAACAGACUUUUCAGUGUUGUGGGAUGCUGUUCUCCGCUGUGAUUCAGCCCACAAUCAGCUGACUUUAAGGAGGAGAGAUUCUCCCAAUGACCUGGCCCAAUCAGGUGAAGGCUUUCAAAGCAGGGCUGAGGCUCCCCGAGAAGGAGGAAUUCUGCCUGUGGGCACAGCCUCAGAGGAGCCGAGAGCCCGCCUGUGCUCGGAGCCUCCUGUGGCCCGGGCCUGCCCUGCCCAACCCCACAGUCGCCUAAGCCAACUCCUCUCCAAAAACCCUGCAUGUGACCUCCUCCCGCCACCUCUCUGGCUGGCCCUGACCUGGACAGGGACCCUGGAACAUGGCCCCUCACAAACCAGCCCGGGUGCUGUCGAGCCAAAGCUGGGACAGAACGCCUGGGACAGAAUGAUUGCGUCGUUGGGCUGUGACACCCCUCGGCAUCCACUGAGAGACCCAGCAGGGCAGCAGCCGCUGACCCAUCUGCAAGAUCCUUUGGUCACCAUCUCCUGUCAGCGAGGAAACUGAGGCUCAGAGGGUCCCAUGUGGAGACCACCAGGACCACCCACAUGGCCCAUGGUAGCUGGAAGCAGCCCACAGGUGCCACUUGAGGGGACGGGACAGGAAGAUGUGACACAGAAGCGGGCCACAGCAGGAGAACCACAGGGACAGAGAGGAGCCAAUGGGCGGCUGCACAGGGGGCAGAGAAGCCCCUGGCCCGGGCCAGGCCACACCACUCACUGUAAAGUGGGGGCAGGAUGCUGUAAAGGGCAGCAGCCUCCAGGAGGGAAGCUCAGCCUGGAGGCCCCUUCGGGCCCAGAGCAGCACAUUCGGAACCUCAGAUACUGUUCAUCCCCUGGACAGGAGGCCCAGGAGGCCCAGGGCCAGGAAGGCUCUGAGCCCAGGAGCGUGACUGGUGCUGUUCCAAAAGAGCGGGAGAAGAUUCCAAAGUUCUCAACACAAGGAGAGGGUAAGUGCUGGGGGAAAGACGCAACAGGGACCCUCAUCUGACCACUUGUACACAGUGCACGUUUAUCCACACAUCUCAAGGCACCCCGUAAAUACGCGCACAGUCAUCCUGUGCAAAUUAGAAAUAAAACUUUUUAAAUGUUUCAAAAAGAAAGAGGGUGAGUGGGACAUCUGUGGCUUGCAGCAGGCUGGUGAUAUGGCUCCAGGCAACAGAGCCAGGCUGUGCCAGGCAGCAAAGGCAGCCAUGGAGCUGCCACUGCGACACUCAGAUGCCUGGGGCUGAGCCAAGCAUCUGGCCAUGGGACACCAGGGACUAGUGGCCAGAAAUACCUGCUACAGCUGGCACCAGACUCCCCAAACAGUAAAGGCAGAGCCCCACCGCGGGAUACAAGAGAUCUCCAUGGAAUCGGGCACAGGGGACCUGCACGUGUGGGUGUCUAACUCUCGUCACCCAGCACUGUUGCACCAGCGUAGGGUUAACUGGCCACCUUCCUACAGCAGGUAGGGUGCCCCCACCAGGAGGAAUGAGUGGUACCCGAGGACCCACCAGAGCACUUUGCAAAGCACCUCAUGGGCUCAGACACACCCCAGAUACUUUCCUGUUCACCACAGGCUGCGUUGGGGAAACCCAAGGUAUUCCCUGGGUAUGUCUCAGAAGGGGACGGGCAUUCCAGGGAGUGCCACCUUGGGAGGCUGAAUCUGAUGCCGUCAGCAGCCUGUAAAGAAGAAACCUGCUGCUUUGUCAUCUGGGAAGUGUGUGUCUGGCAGAAUUAUAAGACAUCUUGUGGCUCCCCCACUGGCAUCCAGGCUUCUGUGCGGCCCUCCCCUCGUGUGUGGGUGGGCCUUGGGACUUGCUUCCGACUGGCAGGAGUGGGCAGAGUUGAGCGACACCAUUCUGUGACCAUGUUACGUUACAUGGCCAAGAGAAGGAACUUUUCGGAUGUAAUUAAGGUCCCUAAUCAGUUGACUGUGCGUUAACUCAAAGGGGAGAUUAUUCACCCCAGAACUGAUUGGAAAGGAGGUUUAGAAAUGAAGCUGCUUCCCCUGUGCCCUGAAGGCCACAGAGAAGUAAGCUGUCGGAACUCUACGCCACAAGGUGAAUUUUGUCAUUGACCUCAGGCAGCUUGGAAGCAAACCAUCCCCUAGGGGGCCUGUGGAGGAGGCCACCACCCUGCUGAUGCUGCACUUCUUCUCAGAGACCCUAGAAGAAAGGGCAGACAAGCCGUGCCUAGACUGCUGACCUCAGAACUGUGAACUGAUAAAUGGGUGUUGUUUUAAGCCACUAAUUCUGUGCUCAUUUGUUCCACAGCAAUAGAGCUAAUAUAAUGAGCCUAUUAAAAUCUCUUUAAAAUGCAAUAA